GCCAGUUUGGUGAUCUACAUUUUGUCAGACUUAACAGAAUUGAAUGCAGCUGAAAUCAGGUGGGAGUAUCACUCGAGAGAACACCACAGUUCAUGCUGCUGGACUUUCAGAUGUUCGUAAACUAAGUGGUUACGGAUCUUCUAAAACUAGACGGAUCCUUCCGCAUCAUACGGAGACCUGCAGUUCUUCGGUGCAGCCUCUGCAGGAGCCCUGAUUUCCCCACCUUCUGCCUCC
rnacentral:lncRNA from 1 species